GACGAACGCUGGCGGCGUGCCUAACACAUGCAAGUCGAGCGAGAAUCUCUUGACGGAUCCCUUCGGGGUGAUGAUAAGAGAGGAAAGCGGCGGACGGGUGAGUAACGCGUGAGUAACCUGCCUUCAGGAGGGGGACAACAUUCCGAAAGGGAUGCUAAUACCGCAUAACAUUGGUUUAUCGCAUGGUUUAACAAUCAAAGAUUUAUCGCCUGAAGAUGGACUCGCGUCUGAUUAGAUAGUUGGUGAGGUAACGGCUCCCCAAGUCGACGAUCAGUAGCCGAACUGAGAGGUUGAUCGGCCACAUUGGGACUGAGACACGGCCCAGACUCCUACGGGAGGCAGCAGUGGGGGAUAUUGCGCAAUGGGGGCAACCCUGACGCAGCAACGCCGCGUGAAGGAAGAAGGUUUUCGGAUCGUAAACUUCUUUAAGUGGGGAAGAUAAUGACGGUACCCACAGAAUAAGCCACGGCUAACUACGUGCCAGCAGCCGCGGUAAAAC
rnacentral:rRNA from 1 species